rnacentral:misc_RNA from 1 species
UUUUAUUUUAUACUUUAAACAUUGAUUUUAUUUUUUAUGUUUUUAGAUAUUUAUGUUUUUGAAUGUUUUAUUCAAAUAAUAUAAAAAAUAAAAUAUAUAUUGACAUGGAUUAAACAAAGAUAUAUAUUAUUCUAUGUUGUAUAAACAAAUUGGCAAAAUAGAGAUGGAAGAUAAAAAUA